CCAUCAUCACCAUCACCCUGACUAGUCUUUCAGGCGAUUGGUGCUGGGAGACUGUUUAGAUCUUCCAGUGGCGCAGAACGUAGAGAUAGCCCCCGGAAGAUGACUUCCGGGGGUUUUUUUUU
rfam:Rahnella aquatilis CIP 78.65 = ATCC 33071, complete genome.